UACGGAGGGGGCUAGCGUUGUUCGGAAUUACUGGGCGUAAAGCGCACGUAGGCGGCUUUGUAAGUUAGAGGUGAAAGCCCGGAGCUCAACUCCGGAAUUGCCUUUAAGACUGCAUCGCUAGAACGUCGGAGAGGUGAGUGGAAUUCCGAGUGUAGAGGUGAAAUUCGUAGAUAUUCGGAAGAACACCAGUGGCGAAGGCGACUCACUGGACGACUGUUGACGCUGAGGUGCGAAAGCGUGGGGAGCGAACAGG
rnacentral:rRNA from 1 species